GGUGAAGCUCUUGGCCUCUGAUCAAUUCCUUGGCUUGUGACCACAGGCUGGUCUUCUGUGUGCAUAUCUGAAGAAAUUCUAUGCAUUGGGU
rnacentral:lncRNA from 12 species